CCUACGGGGGGCAGCAGUGAGGAAUAUUGGUCAAUGGGAGAGAUCCUGAACCAGCAAAGCCGCGUGAGGGAAGACGGCCCUAUGGGUUGUAAACCUCUUUUGUCGGAGAACAAAACCCGGGACGUGUCCCGGACUGCGUGUAUCCGAAGAAAAAGCAUCGGCUAACUCCGUGCCAGCAGCCGCGGUAAUACGGAGGAUGCGAGCGUUAUCCGGAUUUAUUGGGGUAAAAGGGUGCGUAGGCGGUCCGUUAAGUCAGCGGUAAAAUUGCGGGGCUCAACCCCGUCGAGCCGUUGAAACUGGGAGACUUGAGUUGGCGAGAAGUACGCGGAAUGCGCGGUGUAGCGGUGAAAUGCAUAGAUAUCGCGCAGAACUCCGAUUGCGAAGGCAGCGUACCGGCGCCAGACUGACGCUGAGGCACGAAAGCGUGGGGAGCGAACAGGAUUAGAUACCCCAGUAGUC
rnacentral:rRNA from 1 species